rnacentral:tRNA from 1 species
GGACUCCUACAGUAAUUACACUGCUUCCACUGUUAAUGGCGAGGUCUGGGUUCGAGUCCCAGUAGCGGCCC